AGUCGUAACAAGGUUUCCGUAGGUGAACCUGCGGAAGGAUCACUAACACGUAUCAAACGUAAAAAACUUCCCUCUGAACAUUCAAACCUGCUCUCGUAGCCCAGUGCGAUCCAGCAAUCCCGGUAAAUCAUUGUCGAACAGUAUUGAUUCGGGACUUCUGACAAAUGAGAAUAGAUAGCUGCAUGGCAUCCCGAAGCAGUCAGUGUCUGAAAAUGUCAUUGAUUGUCUAAGGAUCUCGACUCAACGAUUGCCAGAGGUCGCUCACCCCCAUUACCUCUGUGAGUCGCGGGAAACUAGCGGCUAAAAAACCUCGAACAACUGUGAACAAUGGAAAUCUUGGUUCUC
rnacentral:misc_RNA from 1 species